GACAGAGGUGCCAAGCGUUAGGCGGAAUCACUGGGCUUAAAGCGUGUGUAGGCGGACUCGUAAGUACCUUGUGAAAUCCCACGGCUCAACCGUGGAACUGCUUGGUAUACUGCUUGUCUUGAGCCACUUAGGGGCUGUCGGAACAAACGGUGGAGCGGUGAAAUGCGCAGAGAUCAGGAGGAACACCCGUAGCGAAGGCGGCACGCUGGGCCGAUACUGACACUGAGGAGCGAAAGCGUGGGGAGCGAACAGG
rnacentral:rRNA from 1 species